rnacentral:rRNA from 1 species
GACGAACGCUGGCGGCGUGCCUAAUACAUGCAAGUUGAGCGCUGAAGGUUGGUACUUGUACCAACUGGAUGAGCAGCGAACGGGUGAGUAACGCGUGGGGAAUCUGCCUUUGAGCGGGGGAAACAUUUGGAAACGAAUGCUAAUACCGCAUAAAAACUUUAAACACAAGUUUUAAGUUUGAAAGAUGCAGUUGCAUCACUCAAAGAUGAUCCCGCGUUGUAUUAGCUAGUUGGUGAGGUAAAGGCUCACCAAGGCGAUGAUACAUAGCCGACCUGAGAGGGUGAUCGGCCACAUUGGGACUGAGACACGGCCCAAACUCCUACGGGAGGCAGCAGUAGGGAAUCUUCGGCAAUGGACGAAAGUCUGACCGAGCAACGCCGCGUGAGUGAAGAAGGUUUUCGGAUCGUAAAACUCUGUUGGUAGAGAAGAACGUUGGUGAGAGUGGAAAGCUCAUCAAGUGACGGUAACGACCCAGAAAGGGACGGCGAACUACGU